ACGCUCGACACCUACGGGAGGCUGCAGUGGGGAAUAUUGCACAAUGGGGGAAACCCUGAUGCAGCAACGCCGCGUGAAGGAAGACGGUUUUCGGAUUGUAAACUUCUGUUCUUAGUGAAGAUAGUGACGGUAGCUAAGGAGCAAGCCACGGCUAACUACGUGCCAGCAGCCGGACGGUAAUCUGAGGCGGGCGUGGACGAAGGC
rnacentral:rRNA from 1 species